AAAGCGAAGAAGAGAAAGAGGAGAAAAACCCUAGUUUGUUCUUCACAAAAUUAUUCAAGGUAAAGAGUCGGUCAUUCGGGAGGUGCCGAAACCUUAGUUUGGCAUACUUCGGUCGACACAAAGGUCACAGGUGGUCGUAGAGUUGGUCCACUACCGGUCGGCAUUUUGGGGACACUUGGAUUAGUAUCGAGUGUUGAUAUUUUUGGGUCGAGUUGGUUGUAAUGGGUCAAACUCUAAGUUUUGUUAAACUCAUUUUGUAACUAAGAUUGUCAAGUACUUUAUGAUUUCAAGUUUUUAAUUAUGUGGGAAACUCUGUUAAUGUUUUAAUUACUUAUGUUGGGAUAAGAGGCAGCAACUUAUGUAUUAUGUAAGUUUGUAAAAUUGUUGACACAUUGUUUAUGUUAAAGUUAAGUCUUCCG